UUCGGAGCGUAAACUCCUUUUCUUAGGGAAGAAUUCUGACGGUACCUAAGGAAUAAGCACCGGCUAACUCCGUGCCAGCAGCCGCGGUAAUACGGAGGGUGCAAGCGUUACUCGGAAUCACUGGGCGUAAAGGGCGCGUAGGCGGAUUAUCAAGUCUCUUGUGAAAUCUAAUGGCUUAACCAUUAAACUGCUUGGGAAACUGAUAGUCUAGAGUGAGGGAGAGGCAGAUGGAAUUGGUGGUGUAGGGGUAAAAUCCGUAGAUAUCACCAAGAAUACCCAUUGCGAAGGCGAUCUGCUGGAACUCAACUGACGCUAAGGCGCGAAAGCGUGGGGAGCAAACAGGAUUAGAUACCCUGGUAGUCCACGCCCUAAACGAUGUACACUAGUUGUUGGGGUGCUAGUCAUCUCAGUAAUGCAGCUAACGCAUUAAGUGUACCGCCUGGGGAGUACGGUCGCAAGAUUAAAACUCAAAGGAAUAGACGGGGACCCGCACAAGCGGUGGAGCAUGUGGUUUAAUUCGAAGAUACGCGAAGAACCUUACCUGGGCUUGAUAUCCUAAGAACCUUUUAGAGAUAAGAGGGUGCUAGCUUGCUAGAACUUAGAGACAGGUGCUGCACGGCUGUCGUCAGCUCGUGUCGUGAGAUGUUGGGUUAAGUCCCGCAACGAGCGCAACCCACGUAUUUAGUUGCUAACGGUUCGGCCGAGCACUCUAAAUAGACUGCCUUCGUAAGGAGGAGGAAGGUGUGGACGACGUCAAGUCAUCAUGGCCCUUAUGCCCAGGGCGACACACGUGCUACAAUGGCAUAUACAAUGAGACGCAAUACCGCGAGGUGGAGCAAAUCUAUAAAAUAUGUCCCAGUUCGGAUUGUUCUCUGCAACUCGAGAGCAUGAAGCCGGAAUCGCUAGUAAUCGUAGAUCAGCCAUGCUACGGUGAAUACGUUCCCGGGUCUUGUACUCACCGCCCGUCACACCAUGGGAGUUGAUUUCACUCGAAGCCGGAAUACUAAACUAGUUACCGUCCACAGUGGAAUCAGCGACUGGGGUGAAGUCGUAACAAGGUAACCGUAGGAGAACCUGCGGUUGGAUCACCUCCUUUCUA
rnacentral:rRNA from 1 species